rnacentral:rRNA from 1 species
CCUACGGGGGGCAGCAGUAGGGAAUCUUUCACAAUGGGCGAAAGCCUGAUGGAGCAACGCCGCGUGCAGGAUGAAGGCCUUCGGGUUGUAAACUGCUUUUAUAAGCGAGAAAUAUGAUGGUAACUUAUGAAUAAGGAUCGGCUAACUACGUGCCAGCAGCCGCGGUCAUACGUAGGAUCCGAGCAUUAUCCGGAGUGACUGGGUGUAAAGAGUUGCGUAGGUGGCAUAAUAAGUAGCUAGUGAAAUCUGGUGGCUCAACCAUUCAGACUAUUAGCUAAACUGUUAAGCUCGAGACCGUUAGGGGUAACUGGAAGUUCUAGUGUAGGAGUGAAAUCCGUAGAUAUUAGAAGGAACACCAAUAGCGUAGGCAGGUUGCUGGGACGGUUCUGACACUAAGGCACGAAAGCGUAGGGAGCAAACGGGAUUAGAUACCCCAGUAGUC